GUGAGAUUAAUGCAUCCACCUAAAAGCAUGAAAGCAGAUCAAGUUCAAGUUACAUACGAAAUAAUAAGAUGGCACAAGGGCAUACUGUACCUAAAACCAAAGUUUUGACCUUGAAGUAAACAACUGCCAUAAAGCUUUUGCCGCAUUAUAACCACUAAAAGCCCACACUGACACAUCUAUGAACGGUGUUCUUGCCAAGACAACAAUAACAAUUAACAGAAAAGGAGACUUAUGUUAUCAACCUCUUUCUUUUAUUCUUUUUCUUUCCUUUUAACCUGACAGUGGAAUAUAUAAAACAUAGGCUGGAAUUUCUUUCCACUUUCCUUCAGAGAAAUGGGAUAUAUGUAACUGAUAAGGCUUCCAUAAAAUUAAUUACAGCUUUACAGCAGAAAUAC
rnacentral:misc_RNA from 1 species